CUCUUCCGAUCUUGGUCCCUAUUAUGUAAAGUGAGUUAUUUCAUGGUGUUUUAGUAAAAUAGUCACGAAUGUCACGAAGCGGUCGCCAUAAUGCGACUUCCGGACUUGACAUACUUCGUGUAAGUUAUUACAAUAAUAAGUACG